UCCCUGGUGGCUCAGACGGUAAAGCGUCUGCCUGCAAUGCGGGAGACCCGGGUUUGAUUCCUGGGUCGGGAA
rfam:TPA: Bos taurus chromosome 18, whole genome shotgun sequence.